GUCCACACCCUAAACGAUGGAUACUAGAUGUUGGAGUACCUAAUAGCUUCAGUAUCGUAGCUAACGCAUUAAGUGCCCCGCCUGGGGAGUACGGCCGCAAGGCUAAAACUCAAAGGAAUUGACGGGGGCCCGCACAAGCGGCGGAGCAUGCUGAUUAAUUCGAUGCAACGCGAAGAACCUUACCAAGGCUUGACAUCCUGCGAACUUGGUAGAGAUACCUUGGUGCCUUCGGGAACGCAGUGACAGGUGCUGCAUGGCU
rnacentral:rRNA from 1 species